UACGUAGGGUGCAAGCGUUAAUCGGAAUUACUGGGCGUAAAGCGUGCGCAGGCGGCUUUGCAAGACAGAUGUGAAAUCCCCGGGCUUAACCUGGGAACUGCAUUUGUGACUGCAUGGCUAGAGUGCGGCAGAGGGGGAUGGAAUUCCACGUGUAGCAGUGAAAUGCGUAGAGAUGUGGAGGAAUACCGAUGGCGAAGGCAGCCUCCUGGGCCAACACUGACGCUCAUGCACGAAAGCGUGGGGAGCAAACAGG
rnacentral:rRNA from 1 species